GGAAGGAUCAUUAACGAAGUAACGGAGUGGCGCGCUCUUGCUGGUGUUAAAGCCGGCUUGGGUUGUGUGCUCCUACACGACGUUGAAAACACUUUCAAGUCGAGCUACCCUGUCGAAAGCUCGCACAUGACCGUACGCCGGGGCGUUUAGGCAGACCGUCGUGGCUCUCGCAGCCACGAGCGUGAUCAGCCAGCCGGCAGGUUAUGUUUGGAAAAAUCGGUGUGCUGUCUGUUGGCUGGUGCGGCGCCUAGCGUGAGCGUUCGCCCGGUGGACUCUCGGCACAUCACGGGAUACCUACAGUCUCACAAGACGAUGCCGUCCGGUCGUGCUUACUCACGUCAAAUCGACCGGUCGGAGGCAUUCGCCGUGAGAGGAGAGCCUGCAGCGCUCGAGGGUGUAAAGCAGCUGCAGCGAGCGUCGCUGCCGACUAGUUUGUGUGCUCGCACACGGCUAGCUCGCACUGGCCGUCCCGAAGCAUUCGCAGUGCGCGACCGCUGUUCCGCACGGAUGAAUGCGUUACUCUGUCCAUGAUGGUAUUGAAUAAAGCCCGUGAAAUCGUCGAGUCGCAGCCAUACACAAGCGACGGAACGAGGCAGCGAGAGCGAAAAAAAACUAUUGAAUCACUCUGUGCGGUGGAUCAUUCGGUUCGAGGGUCGAUGAAGAACGCAGCAAAAUGCGAGACGUAACGUGAAUUGCAGGACUUUGUGAACGUUAAUUCUUCGAACGCACAUUGCGGCUUUGGGUUGACUGAAGCCACGCCUGGUUGAGGGUCAGUUGAAUAAACCAUCACGACUGCGUGAUAGUCGUGGAUUGUCCGGCUAACGUGCCUUGAGUGCGCUAUCGGAUCAAGUCUAGUCCGGAUGUGGCGAGAGAUGGCUGACUGGAUCUGAUCGAUUGCUUGUCGGUUGGGACGAUUAGCUACCUGUGCACAUGCACCGCAGUUGCAGAGCGCAGGCAAGCUGUCCAACACCGAGACAAGUAGCGGUGGGGUUAUGGGUCGGUCGUUCGAACGCACACUGUACAUGUCCGUGUGAUGAAACUGGUGCGCGCAGAGUGGUGUGGGUGUCCCGUGUGUGCCCCAUGCGACGCUGUGGCGCACUCUCUUACUCAUUCUUUUGACCUCAGCUCAGACGAGAUUACCCGCUGAACUUAAGCAUAUUACUAAGCGGAGGAAAAGAAACCAACGGGGAUUCCCAUAGUAACUGCGAGUGAAAGGGGAACAGCCCAGCGCCGAAUCCUGUUGCUGGCGACGGUGACAGGAACUGUGGCGUGAAGAAGGUGUCUAUCGGCGUGACUUGCUCGCGUAAGUUCUCCUGAGUGAGGCUCCAUCCCAUGGAGGGUGCAAGGCCCGUGUCGUGAGCAGUCGUCGUCGAUGCGCGCUUUCAGAGAGUCGCCUUGUUUGCGAGUACAAGGUGAAGUCGGUGGUAAACUCCAUCGAAGGCUAAAUAUGACCUCGAAUCCGAUAGCGAACAAGUACCGUGAGGGAAAAUUGAAAAGCACUUUGAAGAGAGAGCGAAACAGUGCGUGAAACCGCUCAGAGGCAAGCAGAUGGGGCCUCGAAGGCAAAGCAUCGAAUUCAGCCGGUUGUCCGGUGUCCGCGGUCGGUACGGGAGAUCGCAAGACUCUGUCUGGCUGUUGGGCAUGGCUGCCGGUGCACUUUCGGUGUUUGUACGCCACCGCCGUUGAGGAGCGUCCGCCGGGCCGGCGUGUGGAGCCUAAUUCUUUCACGAGAGUUGGUGUCUCACUGCUGGUCUGUGCGCGUUCGCGCCUCAACCGGUCAUGUCAGCGUGUGCCAGCUUUUGCGUUGGGUCGGUGUGCUCCGGUUGGGUGUUGGGGGAAGACGAGCUUGCUCGGCUCUCCUGCAUCUGCUGGAAUCGUGCCGGCUUUCAACGUGGCACAUUGUCGAUUCGGUGGCGAGUAGACGGCUGCCCAUCUAACCCGUCUUGAAACACGGACCAAGGAGUUCAACAUGCGCGCUAGUCGUUGGGACUAGAAGCCCGCUGGCAAAGUGAAAGCAAGUCACAGUGUCACGCUGUGUAUUGGCGAGAUCCCGUCACUCGGUGCGCAAGUGCCGAGCCGGGCGCAUCGCCGGCCCAUCAUAAGCUCACGUGGCUGUGGUGGAGCUUGAGCGUGCACGUUGAGACCCGAAAGAUGGUGAACUAUGCCUGGGCAGGAUGAAGCCAGGGGAAACUCUGGUGGAGGUCCGUAGCGAUUCUGACGUGCAAAUCGAUCGUCUGACCUGGGUAUAGGGGCGAAAGACUAAUCGAACCAUCUAGUAGCUGGUUCCCUC
rnacentral:misc_RNA from 1 species